rnacentral:rRNA from 1 species
UACGUAGGGGGCAAGCGUUGUUCGGAUUCAUUGGGCGUAAAGGGUGCGUAGGCGGCGCGGUAAGUCGGGUGUGAAAUCUUGGAGCUUAACUCCGAAACUGCAUUCGAUACUGCCGUGCUUGAGGACUGGAGAGGAGACUGGAAUUUACGGUGUAAGCGGUGAAAUGCGUAGAUAUCGUAAGGAAGACCAGUGGCGAAGGCGGGUCUCUGGACAGUUCCUGACGCUGAGGCACGAAGGCCAGGGGAGCAAACGGG